UACGGAGGGUGCGAGCGUUGUCCGGAUUUAUUGGGUUUAAAGGGUGCGUAGGCGGGCUAUUAAGUCAGUGGUGAAAUCCUGCAGCUUAACCUGCAGAACUGCCGUUGAUACUGAUAGUCUUGAGUUUGGUUAAGGUAGGCGGAAUGUGUAAUGUAGCGGUGAAAUGCUUAGAUAUUACACAGAACACCAAUUGCGUAGGCAGCUUACUGAGCCGACACUGACGCUGAGGCACGAAAGCGUGGGGAUCAAACAGGAUUAGA
rnacentral:rRNA from 1 species